rnacentral:rRNA from 1 species
ACACGACUACAUUAGAUACCCGUGUAGUCCCAGCCGUAAACUAUGCGCGUUAGGUGUAUCGGUGACCACGAGUCACCGAGGUGCCGAAGGAAACCGUGAAACGUGCCGCCUGGGAAGUACGGUCGCAAGGCUGAAACUUAAAGGAAUUGGCGGGGAGCACCACAACGGGUGGAGCCUGCGGUUUAAUUGGACUCAACGCCGGGAAGCUCACCGGAUAAGACAGCGGAAUGAUUGCCGGGCUGAAGACUCUGCAUGACUAGCUG